rnacentral:misc_RNA from 1 species
AAAUGCAAGAAAUUAAACAUGGCGACUCGCGGCUAGGCCGGUUGGCAAUUUUUGGGGAUCGUCAUCGGUCCAGAAUUUCUCUUCAGUUGUCUUUGUUGUUAAUUUAACUCCAAAAUGUCGGACUCCGACGAAUGUUCGGAGACUAUCGAUGAACUCCGGGUGGAAAUUGAGCGUCUAAAGGACGAAUUAAACCUCGCGAGUCGGGAGAAAAUCCAAGCGGCCGAAUAUGGCUUGGUCGUGUUGGAGGAGAAACAGGCGUUGAAACAGCAGUUCGAGGAACUUGAAGUGCUGUAUGACACCAGCAAGACGGAACUUCAGCUGGCAAAAGAGGCGUUGGAUCAGCACCAACUCCACCAGAAGAAGCACACCAUCCAGGAAGUCCAUCGGGAAGAGAACCUCCUCAAGGAGACGGCCACGCGAGAAGCUGACCUCGUUGAGCGCAUCACGGAGCUAGAGUCCGAGACCAAGAACUACCGUCAGGAGCUGACCCACACCAAGAUUGAGAAUGAGAGGCUGCACGCCCGGCACGUAGAGCUGGUGGUCCAGAAUGAGAAGCUGGACGCACUCCGGAAGACGCUCAAGGAUGAGGCCCGGGACAUCAAGUUCCGGGAGACCAGGCUCCUGCAGGACUACAGCGAGCUGGAAGAGGAGAAUAUCGCUAUGCAAAAGCAGAUGUCAAUGUUGAAGUCGUCAGUGGUUGAGUACGAAGCCAUGAAGCACGAGAACCGUCGUCUGACUGAGGAGACUCAGUAUCUGAACACACACAUUGAGGACCUGAUCCGUCUCAGAGAGAUUGCCGACAAGCAGAUCGAGGAGACACUCCAAGCCCUGGAAGCCGAGCGGGAACAGAAGCACUACCUCAAGAAGCAGCUGGAUCAGGCCAUGAUCAUGGAGAUGGAAGCCUUCAACAAUGACCUCAUGAACAGCUCGGGACUCUUAGCUGAUGACGACGACUCAGACACGGAGUCUCAGUCGCCAGAUCAUCCCAUCCUGCGCAGGAUGGAGUACGAAUUCCAGUCCGCCAAUGGCACAAACGGCCUGCACCAACCUGGCCAGUCAGCAUGCACAGGGUCCGAUCUCUUCAGCGAAAUGCAGUUCACGGAGGUCCAGAAACUGGAGGAACAGCUGGCCCAGCUCCAGACCGAGAAAACUCAACUCUCACAAAAUCUAGAACAGACCAUGGGGGCCCUGAAUUGCCUCCCGGAUGAUCUGAAUAUCUCUGGGACAGACAGUGAAGGGGAGCCACUGCCUGAAGAUUUGAACAUCCACCAUCGCAAGCUGCUGAAUCUCAUACGGCUUGUGAAGCACCACGAGAAGAAGUACGCCUCAGCGAUGUCUCAAAUUGCGGCCUUGAGUGCUAAAGUGGACAGUCAACAAGACAAACUGAAUGAGGAGAGCAAGAAGGUAGACCUGCAAUCAGAGGUAGAUCUCAUGAAUGACAGGAACAGGCAUCAAGAGAUGACCAUCCGGAGUCUACAGUCGCAGAUGAGGCAGAUGAACGACUUCAUUGUGGAAUCACAGGGUCACUUAAAUUGUACACAGGAUGAACUGAUCAAUGUCAGUGAGGACUUGGCCCAACUUUACCACCAUGUGUGUGUGGUGAACGGCGAGACACCCAACCGAGUCAUCCUAGACCACCUCAAGGCAACAAGGCAGAGCAGAAGGGAGAGCUUCCGGGCAGAAAUUGCCAGCAGGUUGAAAGAGGUGUCGUUUGAUUCGGAUGCAAGCAGAGAGAAAUUGAACGCUGGUGACACUGAUGGGAACAUUAGCACGGAUGAGAGCUCCUCGCCCGCUUCUAGUGUCAAAUCAUCCACCCCCAUCUCGAGCCCAGCCAGGCGGAUAGAUGCCUCCCCAAGAAAGGUUAGCAGUGACCCCAUCACUUGCAACAAUCUGUUGACUACGAUUCGGGAUCAGAUCAAGUAUCUAAAACGGUCUGUGGAGCAUGCCGUUGAAAUGUCGCGGCAGCGCAGCAACGAGACCGCUGGAUCGACCGAACAUGAAGACUUGCGCGAAGAGGUCAUGAAACACAAAGCCCUCCUGGCCACCAAACGAGAACAGGUUGUGACGCUCAGGACUGUCCUCAAGGCCAAUAAGACAACGGCCGAGGUUGCGCUCGCCAACCUCAAGAGCAAAUACGAGAACGAGAAGAUCAUCAUCGCCGAGACGAUGAUCAAAUUGAGGAAUGAACUGAAGGCUCUCAAGGAGGACGCAGCCACGUUCGCGAGCCUCCGCGCCAUGUUUGCCACGAGGUGCGACGAGUACGUGACCCAGCUGGAUGAGAUGCAGCGGCAGAUAUCCAGCGCCGAGGAAGAGAAGAAGACGCUGAACUCCCUGCUCCGCAUGGCCAUCCAGCAGAAGCUGGCCCUCACCCAACGCCUGGAGGAUCUGGAAUGUCACACAGAGCUCCAGCAGAUCCACCCUCGCAAGCCGGCUCCCAGGCGCCACAAACCCUCCAAAUUUAGGCGAGAUUCAGCCAGGGAUUCGGCCAGGGAUUCGGCCAGAGAUUCGGCCAGAAAUUCGGCCUGGGACACGACUAGAGAAUCCGGCAGAGAGUCCGCCAAAGAAACGUCCAGAGUUUCUCCUCGAGAACCCACCAGACGAAGCUCGGGGAGUUCUUACACCACGGCCACGCGUAUCGUCAGCCGCAGUGUGCCCAAAGGAUUCCACGGCCAGGAUGUCUGAUCUUCCCUAUCUCAGUGAAUGGCACAGUCCCACCGAUUACAGUUUACACGCAAAGCGCGUAUGGGUACCAGCACCUACAAUUCAGAGCAUACAGUGCUGAAGAUUUAGCCGU